rnacentral:rRNA from 1 species
AGUGAACGCUGGCGGUAGGCUUAACACAUGCAAGUCGAACGGCAGCACAGUAAGAGCUUGCUCUUACGGGUGGCGAGAGGCGGACGGGUGAGGAAUACAUCGGAAUCUACUUUUUCGUGGGGGAUAACGUAGGGAAACUUACGCUAAUACCGCAUACGACCUACGGGUGAAAGCAGGGGAUCUUCGGACCUUGCGCGAUUGAAUGAGCCGAUGUCGGAUUAGCUAGUUGGCGGGGUAAAGGCCCACCAAGGCGACGAUCCGUAGCUGGUCUGAGAGGAUGAUCAGCCACACUGGAACUGAGACACGGUCCAGACUCCUACGGGAGGCAGCAGUGGGGAAUAUUGGACAAUGGGCGCAAGCCUGAUCCAGCCAUACCGCGUGGGUGAAGAAGGCCUUCGGGUUGUAAAGCCCUUUUGUUGGGAAAGAAAAGCAGCAGGUUAAUACCCCGCUGGGCUGACGGUACCCAAAGAAUAAGCACCGGCUAACUUCGUG